GUGUGUGCGGUGAAGAUGCAAUUUUCGUGGACUAGAGUUUCUGAUCUGGGCAAUUAACUCAGAAGUUGAUUAUAAAACCCUUGGCUGUCUGAGCACAUUUUAAAUCCCCAAAUUUUUACUUAAUUCUUCUCCUUCCGGAAAAUAAAAAUUCUUCAUUUUUUAGGUUUUGCUUCGCUUCCUACAUCUCAUAUUUUUUGUUGUUGAAAUUGGUUGAGAAAAUUCUUGGCUUAUGAUGAUAACAUAAAUUAUCUUAGCGGAUUUCAGUGAGAUUUCGAUCAAUGAUCUGAUUGUUACACACACUGAAGCCUUUCUUAUAGUUCCUAAUUUCGAUUUUCAUCUUUAAAUAUAAAGUAUUAAUGUUAUUGGUUGCAAUGAUGUGACAAAAACACAAUGGUGUUAUUAGGCAGUGGACGUUGCCAUUUGGUAGCGCCGUGAGCCUAUAUUUUAACGACUUCUCCUUCCACUGAGCACUAUAUUAUUACUUUAUUUAUUGUUAUUGAUUUGAAUGAAUUAUAUUUGUCACUAAUUAUUGGUAUGUGAUUGCGUCCAUUACCAAUUCCGGGGAUAUUAUGUUCCUCCUGGAUAAUGGCUUGGACGCUAUAAUUUUGAUGUGGUCAUCCUGAUUUAUGGUUUCUUUAAAGUAUCAUUUGGUCUUGGAAACGCCACCUACAUUU